rnacentral:lncRNA from 1 species
UUUCCCUUCAUAGUUAACUUUAAUUCAUGGCAGUCUUGUCAAAAUACUUCUAUUUCACCUUUUAGAGAAAUUCCAGCUGUUUUUUUUAAAUGUUUUCAUUUUUACUGAAUGAGCACACAAGUUAGUCAAAGAAGAAACAAAUCUAAAAAAUUGCUUUUCCUUUGUAAUAAAAAUGUUGCUUUGUAAACAAAAUUCUUUAAUAUCUGAUAUUAAAUAGCAUAUAUCCCAGUUUUUAUUAGCAUAAUUUAAAUGAUACAUAAUGUACUGAAUAUACAUGCCUUCAAUAGGGUGUGAAUUUGACAUUUCCUUAUGGCUACAAAAAUUACUCUGGAAAACUAUACCAAACAAAGCAUGUACAUGUAGUUGUCCAAUGGUCCUAUUUUCCAAAUAUUUAAAAUACAUUCCCUCAAAUAUUAGCACAGGUAAAUAAAGGACCUGCAAAAGUUUCACUAAAACUGUGACAUAUUUUAACAAGUAUUUGUACCUGUUAAGUCAAUACUUCAGAAAUAUUUUGUUUAAGCAUACAUUGCUAGCCAUUUACAGCAGGAAAUAGACUGUACCUUUUUGCUCCAAUCAAUGUAUCCUUGUUUUAUUGCCUGUUGCUUACUAUCCUGUGAAGUGCCUUAGUUCAGAUUCCAUAGACAGUAUAUUAAGCAAACUUUUUGUUUUUUCAAUUGGAAGUUAGGAAGUCCAUGAUUAAGGGGGUAGCAAAUCCAGUGUCCAGUGAGAACCUUUCUCCUGCUUAUAACAUCUUCUUGAUGUUUCACCAUAUGACAGAGAAAGAGACAGAAGCAGAGAUCAUCUUUCCUGUGUCCCUUCUUAGAAAGGCACUAAUACCAGUCAGGAGGACUGCACCUUAUGCAUAAUUACCUGACACAUGCUUCAGCCCCAAAUACCAUCACAUUAGGGCUUAGACAUUAGCACACUGAUUUGAGUGAGUGGAGGCAAUUGUGUUCAUGUUACUAUAUCAGUAUUAUGCUAUGAUAUUAUGCCAUUAUUAUGAAGUAUACCAUUAUUAUAUCUUCAAACUAGAAAACAUGGUGGCUAUAUAUUUCAAGAAUUUGACUCUCUAACUUAAGAAAUGCAACAAAACAAAGCAUUAAAUUCUCAAUUAUUUUAUUGAACUUCUCUUUCUAUGUUUUAUUUUACUUCUUACCACAGGUCUUCCUUAUAUCUUGUCUAGACUAUAAUCUAGCCUAGUCUGCCAUCCUACAGUCUGUCUGGUGGUCCAUACUUCCUGCCAUUUACUUUAUAUAAACAUCAUGAACAAAUUAUCUUUGUGAAGUGUAGUAUUGUUUAUAUUAUUUUGAAUAAACAUUUUUGAAGUAUAAUUUAUAUAAAUAAAAUGCCCACAUUUUAAUUGUGUAUUUUGAUACUAUAGCAAUUUCAUGCACCUUUAAACCAUCACCACCAUUAAGAUAUUGAACAUUAAUAUCAUUCUAGAAAGUUCCUUCCUGCUUUGUUUCCAUUAGUUCUCUGCCAUAUAUCAGCCUCAGGCAAAUGCUAAAGUGAUGUCUAUAACUAUAACUUUUUUUAUACUUUUCCUGAAAUUCCAUAUAAAAGAGAGUAUAGAGUAUGUGCUUUUGUGGGCCUGGAUUCUUUUGUUUACUAUCAUAGUUUGUGUGUCAGGCUUGUUGCAUACAUCAUCACUGAAGGGUUAGUUUUUCUUCCUAACAACGAGUUUAUGUGCAUUGGGAUUGUUUCGGUUAGAAGCUAUGAUAAAUAAAGCAGCUAAAAACAUACCUGCCAUUGGUGUAUGUACGUUUUCAUUUAUAUGUAGGAAAUACCAAAAUAUGUUUGACUUUUACAAGAAAGGUGAACGUUCAUUUCCAAGUCAUUUUCUAAUAUGAAACAAAUAACCUGAUUAACACUUGGUACUGUAAGUAUUUUCAAUUUUUGCCAUUCUGUUGAGUGUGACUCAUUGUGACUUUUAUUUUAAUCAGUUGUCUCAUGAGAUUAUUGGCCCUUUGUAUAUGUUAUUUUGUGAGUUAUGUUGAUGACUUUUGUCCAUUCAAGGACAAAAGCUUUUCAUUAAUUUGUAAUUACUCUGUGUAAAUCCUAGUUAGAAACUCUUUUUAAUUUAAAUAUUUUGAUUAUACUUACCUUUCAGUGUGAGUUUCUUUUCAAAAGUAAAUCAUUUAAUUUUCCACUAACUUCAUCUCAUCAGCUAAUCUAUAGUUAAUACUUUCUGUGUCCUAUGCAAGAAAUAUUUAUCUAGUGCAAGUCCAUUUAAAUUUUACACUAUUUUCUCAUUUAAUAACUUGUAUAGUUUUACCUUUUUUGUGGAUAAUAUUUCUUUUUUAAAAAAAAAUAAUGUCAUGCAGGGUUGAUGUUCGUAUUUUACAUAUAAAUAUCUAGUAGUUCCAAGAACAUUUACUUAAAAACUUAUCCUUUCUCCAUUUAAGUAUCUUGACACUUGUCUUGAAAAUCAGUUAGCCAUAUAUAUUUCUAGAGUCUAUUCUUUUUCAUUGACAUACUUAUCUAUAUUUAUGACUUACUCUAAUCCCUUGAUUACUAUAGAUUCAUAAUAGGUUUUGAAAGACAAGAAUGUCAAGUCAUCCAAUUAAUUUAUUUCAAUAGUAUUUUGACUUAGUAGGUUCUUUGGUUUCCAUAUGAAUUUUAGAAUAAAUUGGUCAAUAUCUACAAA